rnacentral:rRNA from 1 species
CCACACUGGAACUGAGACACGGUCCAGACUCCUACGGGAGGCAGCAGUGGGGAAUAUUGCACAAUGGGCGCAAGCCUGAUGCAGCCAUGCCGCGUGUAUGAAGAAGGCCUUCGGGUUGUAAAGUACUUUCAGCGGGGAGGAAGGGAGUAAAGUUAAUACCUUUGCUCAUUGACGUUACCCGCAGAAGAAGCACCGGCUAACUCCGUGCCAGCAGCCGCGGUAAUACGGAGGGUGCAAGCGUUAAUCGGAAUUACUGGGCGUAAAGCGCACGCAGGCGGUUUGUUAAGUCAGAUGUGAAAUCCCCGGGCUCAACCUGGGAACUGCAUCUGAUACUGGCAAGCUUGAGUCUCGUAGAGGGGGGUAGAAUUCCAGGUGUAGCGGUGAAAUGCGUAGAGAUCUGGAGGAAUACCGGUGGCGAAGGCGGCCCCCUGACGAAGACUACG